UUGGUGGGUUGAGUAGUAUCCCCAAAUGGGCUUGCAUAUGUUUAUUGAUGUUGCAUGUAUUUUGAAAUGGGCCUAUGGGCCAUACUGUUAUCUGAAUAAGGGGCUAAGGCCCUGUUUAUUGUAAUCUGAAAAGGGCUCUGGUCCAGUACCACCGUUACCCAAAUGGGCUUGCAUAUGUUUAUUGAUGUUGCAUGUAUUUUGAAAUGGGCCUAUGGGCCAUACUGUUAUCUGAAUAAGGGGCUAAGGCCCAGUUUAUUGUAAUCUGAAAAGGGCUCUGGCCCAGUAUCACUGUUACCUGAAUGGGCUUAGGCCCAAUAGGCUUGAGCUGACUUGGGCUUUGAAUGGGUUUUCCUUACACACUGAGUUUCCCCAAACUCACCCUUUUUAUUUUCAUCCACACAGGAAAUCCCCAACCAUAGUGGGCUUGGAGCUGUGAGGGAAUUUGGAGUGGCCACCCGUUCUGAAAGUUUGAUUUUCUUCUGGUGAACUGGACAUCCUUUUAAUUAUGUUUGAGGUUUUGGGCUUUUAAAUGUAAUAAGGCCGCUUAUUUAUUUUUGAUGGUUUUUAAUAUGUAUUACUAAGAUAGGUAAUACUUAUUUUAACUGUUGAAAUUGGAUAGCUUUAGGGCGCAUUUUCAAAAACAACAGUUGAUUUCAAAAUAACACGACAACAAGCAAAGCUUCCGCAAUGAAAGUAUUUUCUAAAAUUAAUCACUUUUCCUAAAAAUGACUUAAUUGAAUCGGUUUCCUAGAAAUAUCCAUGACGUUAAGGUGUGGCAAUGGCGGUAUGCAUGUCUAGGAUUGGAUUCGAAGGGAGCUUGGUACUUAAGCAGUCCGAUGGACUCACUACCUCUUUUCCGGUUUCCUAUCUGGUGCACAGCUUCCAUUCACUUUAACCCUUAAUGAAUUAAUCUUUUGAACAUCAAGUACG
rnacentral:lncRNA from 1 species